rnacentral:rRNA from 1 species
GAGGAAAAGAAACUAACAAGGAUUCCCCUAGUAACUGCGAGUGAAGCGGGAAAAGCUCAAAUUUAAAAUCUGGUAGUCUUUGGCUGCCCGAGUUGUAAUCUAGAGAAGCGUUAUCCGCGUUGGACCGUGUAUAAGUCUCCUGGAAUGGAGCGUCAUAGAGGGUGAGAAUCCCGUCUUUGACACGGACUACCAGGGCUUUGUGAUGCGCUCUCAAAGAGUCGAGUUGUUUGGGAAUGCAGCUCUAAAUGGGUGGUAAAUUCCAUCUAAAGCUAAAUAUUGGCGAGAGACCGAUAGCGAACAAGUACCGUGAGGGAAAGAUGAAAAGAACUUUGGAAAGAGAGUUAAACAGUACGUGAAAUUGUUGAAAGGGAAACGCUUGAAGUCAGUCGCGUUGACCAGGGAUCAACCUUGCUUUUGCAUGGUGUACUUCCUGAUUAACGGGUCAGCAUCAAUUUUGACCAGUGGAAAAAGUUCGAGGGAAUGUGGCAUCUUCGGAUGUGUUAUAGCCCUUGGUCGUAUACAUUGGUUGGGAUUGAGGAACUCAGCACGCCGCAAGGCCGGGUUUUAACCACGUUCGUGCUUAGGAUGCUGGCAUAAUGGCUUUAAUCGAC